GUCAGCAGCCAUAUCACCCUGCAACUCACAACUGGCAACCCACUGAAGCUAGGCAGGUGUGAGCCUGGUCAGUACCUGGAUGGGAGACCUCCUGGGAAAAACUAGGUUGCUGCUGGAA
ensembl:rRNA 5S_rRNA 5S ribosomal RNA